UUUGUUUUGUUAGAAUGGGUGGUUGAGAGUUGAUCUGGAUAUUUUCUUCCUCAGUCGAAUAAUUUAAAUGGCCAUAAUCAUUGUUCUUAAAUACCUCUGACUGUUUUGUCUCCUUUGUUGAUGUGCCUCCACAUGUCCUUGUGAACAUGUCUCCCAUCUUCAUGCUCAUGCAGCUUCACAGGCCAAUUUUCACUGGUUCAUUGAUACUAUUCAUUCCCAAUACUUCAUUAUUUUCCAUGGAUUCCUUUGCGAAAGUAUUUUGGAUCAUUCCUUUCACUUCUGCUGGAUGUACUUUUUCUUUUCUUUCACUCGAUCAUCAAGGAAGAAAUUCCUUGUUUCGUUUGCCUGAUGAGAAGUUCCAAAUGGGAUGAUUUCAAUUGGGAAAUGCUCUUGUGAAUAUUGCAUAUUUUCCAUGCCAUUGUUACGUCUAGUGAAUUGACUUUCCGCUCUCAUCCAAGGGCCAUAGUUUGUUACCUCAGUUUGAUCCUGUAGGAGAGGGUAGACUUGUUGGAUAUGUCCAAGACAGCCGCAAAUUCGAGAGUCUUUCAUAUUUGAAGCUAAUCCAGGCUUGCUCUCGAAGGCCAGUCGCUAACGAGCAUGUGGAAUCUUUUUAUAUUCCAUAGUCUUUGAUCCACAUCUCUUAGUUUUUCUUGCUGGUUUUGAAAGCGAAUAAGAAAGUGUUCACAUCCAAAUCUUUAAUAUUUAGCCUCCCUGCAAAACUCCAAGCCAUUUUAAUUGUUGCAUGCAGAGAAUUUCUAUUCAAAGGCCUGGAUGAUAUAACUCUUCCUAUAAGGACAUGAGCGGACAGCUGAGUAGCAAUAUCUGUUUCUGGCUGCAAGUCAAGGUCGUUUCAGGAUGUAAUUUGGGUUUGAGUUCCUGUUGGUUUCGUAGAUGGAGAUGCUGACAUCUUGUUUUCCGUGGGAAGUCAAAGAAAAGGGGAUGCUGGUUGUUGGGAAAGGUAGGUGGAGGGAGAGAGUUUCUUGAAAGUUUUAAUUAGUUAUUGGGUUGGAUUGGGAUGGAUUGGGCUGUUUGAUGGCACUUAAACCUAGUUAAGGUGGAUUUGAAUUCUAUAUUUAUUUAUUUUUUUUAAAAGUAGUGCGCAGUUAUGCAUUUUAUGAUUGUAAAUAUUAUUUUUCAUUAUAUUAUAUGAUAGAUUCAUUUUAUUUAUUAAUAUCUAUAAAUGAUGAUCAUAAAUCCUUUGUUUUUUUUUAAACAAUAUUUGAUUUUAAAUGGUGGCAGCAUCUUCAAAUACUUAUACUUGUCAAGCAGCUGGGCCUUUUCUAAACCAUCCGUUUUUAGGUGCAGCCUAGUCACUGGGCAAGGUUUGGUUGCAAAGAUGGCUGCAUCAAUUGCGAGCUGGGCCGAAGGGCAUUAAAGGCCUGAAUCUCAUAGGACUACUCCUUUUCCGACCACCUUUAUCUUUCUUUUAUUUUAUUAUUAUUAUUAUUAUUAUUAUUAUUAUUAUUAUUAUUAUUACUUUUAAAUUUCGUUAAUCAGAUCGACCGGUUUGAUUAGAGCAUCCCCAUUCGGUUCUGCAUAUGGUUUUCUUCUCUAUAAUUUACGGAAUAAUUUAGGGUUUUCAUCAAAAACCCAUCUCCAUCCCAAUCCCCAUUUUACGGACUUCAUUUCCGGUCUAUACAGGAAAUCCCUAUAUUUGUUAAAAUACUGUACAUCCGCAUCGGUCCUUGGCUCCAGCGAUCUCCCCUUCAUCCCGCGUCUUCUCUCUCUGAAACGGUUGGCCCUCCCUUGCACUUCAGCACCAUCGAUUGCAGAUCUCCAUUGUCAAAUUUUGGUAAGUUCAAAAUAUUUUCUCUUUAAAGAUCGUAUGUACCAAAAACCCUCAUUUUCUUUUAUUUUUCUUUUCCUCUCUCUCUCUCUCUCUCUCUCUCCCCUUCUCUGUUUUUGGCUGCCCAUCUUCUUCCUCCCGAUGCCAUGAUCAAUUUUUGUGAGAGAAAUAAUUAUCUGGUUAGUGUAAAAAUAACUGUAUGUGUUUUGCUUGAUUUGGGGGAGUAGUUUUUGGUGGAUUUCCCAUUGAUGGGCAUGGGUUUUCUGGAGAAAGAUUGUGGCCGCGAUUUACUAUCCUAGUCUAUUUCUCACAUGGGUUUCUUUCUAUUUUCUAUAAUUGUAUAUUUUAUGGUUUGCAUGAGGUUUUUUCUACUACAUAUUGGAUCGGUUGAGAGGUAAUUACUGUUGGUAUGAUUUUGGGUUCAAUUUUUUUUUUUAUUGUGUUUAUUGUACCAGGAUCUUUAUUUUUUGGCUUGGAUAUGAAGCUCCUUUCGUUGUUUAACCUCUUAUCCUGUAGUGAAGGAUUAUAUGUGUAGCUAUAGGAUGUUAUCUCAUGGAUUUUGUCACAGCAACAUCUCAGUGCAGAGAUUUUCAGUUUCCAA